AUUGAACGCUGGCGGCAGGCCUAACACAUGCAAGUCGAGGGGAGCGGCAGACGGGUGAGUUACGCGUGGGAACGUUCCUUUUGGAUCGGCACAACACAGGGAAACUUGUGCUAAUACCGGAUACCGAAAGAUCGGCCGGCGUGUGAUUAGCUAGUUGGCAGGGUAAUGGCCUCCAAAGGCGACGAUCAGUAGCUGGUCUGUGAGGAUGAUCAGUCCCAUUGGGACUGGGACACGGCCCAAAUUCCUACGAGAGGAAGCAGUGGGGAAUGUUUGACAAUGGGGGCGAGCCUGAUCCAGCCAUGCCGCGAGAGUGAUGAAGGCGCGAGGGUUGUAAAGCUCUUUUGUGCGGGAAGCGGUACCGCAAGAAUAAGCCCCGGCUAACUUCGUGCAAGCAGCCGCGGUAAUAC
rnacentral:rRNA from 1 species